AUUGGACGCUGGCGGCAGGCCUAACACAUGCAAGUCGAGCGGAUGAAGGGAGCUUGCUCCUGGAUUCAGCGGCGGACGGGUGAGUAAUGCCUAGGAAUCUGCCUGGUAGUGGGGGAUAACGUCCGGAAACGGGCGCUAAUACCGCAUACGUCCUGAGGGAGAAAGUGGGGGAUCUUCGGACCUCACGCUAUCAGAUGAGCCUAGGUCGGAUUAACUAGUUGGUGGGGUAAAGGCCUACCAAGGCGACGAUCCGUAACUGGUCUGAGAGGAUGAUCAGUCACACUGGAACUGAGACACGGUCCAGACUCCUACGGGAGGCAGCAGUGGGGAAUAUUGGACAAUGGGCGAAAGCCUGAUCCAGCCAUGCCGCGUGUGUGAAGAAGGUCUUCGGAUUGGAAAGCACUUUAAGUUGGGAGGAAGGGCAGUAAGUUAAUACCUUGCUGUAUUGACGUUACCAACAGAAGAAGCACCGGCUAACUUCGUG
rnacentral:rRNA from 1 species